GAUGAAGAACGUAGCGAAAUGCGAUAAGUAAUGUGAAUUGCAGAAUUCAGUGAAUCAUCGAAUCUUUGAACGCACAUUGCGCCCCCUGGUAUUCCGGGGGGCAUGCCUGUCCGAGCGUCAUUACAACCCUCAAGCUCAGCUUGGUAUUGGGCCCCGCCGACCCGGCGGGCCCUAAAGUCAGUGGCGGUGCCGUCCGGCUCCGAGCGUAGUAAUUCUUCUCGCUCUGGAGGUCCGGUCGUGUGCUCGCCAGCAACCCCCAAUUUUUUUCAGGUUGACCUCGGAUCAGGUAGGGAUACCCGCUGAACUUAAGCAUAUGAAUAAGCGGAGGA
rnacentral:misc_RNA from 1 species